UCAUUCAGUCGUGUUUUUUGAUAUUUUGUAAUCGAGUACCUUUUUAAAGGUCUAAUGGCUCCCAUCAGGUGUUGUGUGCAGACGGAGGAAAAAUUCAACGAGUAAACAUAUAUUUAAUCCAAAUUAAAUACUCAUAUUUCUAUGUAAAAUGUCACAUUAUUGUAUAAAUAAAUAAUUAAGAAACAAAA